AUGACUGAAGGGCCGUUGGACUUCUGGAUAAACUGGGCGAGUCAGAUUGGGGUUCUCUUGAGCCUCACCUUCCAGCUCAUCCUCCAUCUCUUCGCCAACGUACGGCGGCGUAAUAGCUCAGCUAUGCUGAGGGCUCCCCUCUGGCUGGCGUACCAGCUGUCGGACAUGACCGCGACAUACACAGCCGGCCAACUACUCUACAGCAGCUGCGCACCGCAAGACCACCAGCUCAUUGCCUUCUGGGCGCCAUUCCUCCUGCUGCAUCUCGGUGGCCCAGACAACAUCACUGCUUAUGCCCUCGAGGACAGCAAGCUUUGGACGCGCCACUUGCUGACCCUUGUGGUGCAGGUUGCAGGAGCCGGAUAUGUCCUCUACAAGUACAUCGCCGGCAGCGGGAUCUUGCUCACGCUGGCUGCCAUCUUGAUAUUCGUUGUUGGUGUUGCCAAGUAUGCUGAGAGGACAUGUGCGCUCUGGUUCGCCAAUUUCAGCAGCAUCCAGAGCUCUCUCAAGUUACAGGCACGCGACAAGCAUCACCAACAUUUUUACAUUGAGCAUCAAGACUGGUACAAUGAUUUGGAGGAUGAGCUCGUCCUGCAGCGUGCUCAUUCCCUGUUUCAUAUCUGCAAGCGCGGAAUAGUUGAUUCGGUGAUCAUGGUGGAUGACUCAGAUAGCUCGAGCAAGGAAAUAAUCUUGCGCCUUCGGGGAGACCGUAAGCAAAUGUGGAGGGUGAUGGAGAUGGAGCUCUCCCUCAUGUACGAAAUCUUGUACACCAAGGCAAGUAUGAUACACUCUUGGGUCGGCUACUGCAUCCGUAUCAUCUCACUGCUUGCCAUCACCGCCUCCCUCAUGUUGUUCUGGUUGAGCAGCAAAGAUGGUUUCAGCCGAGUCGAUGUGGAUAUCACAUACACCUUGUUGGGUGGUGCCUUGGUUCUAGAGGCAAAAUCGCUCCUCGGCGCACUAGGGUCGAGCUGGGCGCUUGCUUUCUUGUGUGCCACACAAUGGCAUUGGCUCCGGCAUUCAGCUCUGUGCACUGGAAGAUGGCAUCGGCUACGGCGCACACUUAUUUCUCUUCGCCAGUCUUGGCCUGGCAAGAUGAUGAUGACAGGAAGCUCAAGGAGGUGGUCAGGCACCAUAGGGCAGCACAACAUGCUUCGUUUCCGUGCCGGACAGGUGGACCCGAUAAGCCGUCGACUUGGCAAUCUGUUCAAGAUGCUGGGACUCGGUGAGUGGUGGGACAGGAGGUACUACUCAUGGACUGUCAUUGUCCCGGAGACGGUCUUGAAGCGUGCACAGGAGUUAAACACGAGGGUAUCACGGUAUGAUGUGAACACAUUGGGCUUGCUCAGGCAUACGUGGGGUAAAUCGGCACUGAAUAACGAGAAGCCUGGGCUGUUCAAGAAGUUGAAGACGUGGCAUGGAGUUGACUUCCAUGAGAGCAUCAUCUCCUGGCACAUCGCUACUGACUUGAUCCUCACAAGGGAGGAAAAAGAAAAAGCUGACCAACGUGUGGAGACAGUUAGGGCACUGUCCAAUUACAUGAUGUUCCUUCUUGUGGACCGCCCCUACAUGCUUCCAGGCCUUCCUCAAAACUGGCUGUACAAGCAAACCUGCAUCAAUCUGGAUGAGAUAUGUGAAGAAAACCACCUUGUCAGUUCUCCUGGCGACGGCUUCUGCACUGUGUUCAAGAAAUUGUUCCAACCGCAUCAUCACUGGGACUUGAAACCUUCUGCGCUUGAGAAGAAGCUCGCUGACCUCAUAGUGAAGCUGAAUGACCAUAAGCCCUCUGAUGCUGAAAAUCCUCGGCUCAAGUACGCGCGCAACAUUGCUAAUGUAAUUAAGGAGGAGAAGGUGUAUGAUAAGGUGCAUCUGCUGCUAAGCCUAUGGACUGACUUUCUAGCUUACGCAGCCAACCGUUGCAGUAGGGAGUCACAUGCCAAGAUUCUUGGCAGCGGUGGUGAGUUCACGACCAUCGUAUGGCUCAUGAUAGAACACCUACGCCAAAUAAAAACAGUCAAUAAACAGGAGGACAGCCCUGCAUAA
rnacentral:rRNA from 1 species